GCUGUAGCUCAGUGGUAGAAAAUCUGCUUUGCAUGCAGAAGGUCUCAGGUUCAAGCCCAGGCAUCUCCA